rnacentral:rRNA from 1 species
UCUUGGUCAUUUAGAGGAAGUAAAAGUCGUAACAAGGUUUCCGUAGGUGAACCUGCGGAGGAUCAUUACAGAAAGUAAAUGCGGGUCAAACCGCGAACUUCUAAACCUUUGACGAUUGACUCAUGUUGCCUCGGCGGGUUCGCCCGCCAGAGGAUACAUCAAAACUCCUGUUUUAACGGUGUUGUCUGAGCUACAAGCAACGAAUCAAAACUUUCAACAACGGAUCUCUUGGUUCUGGCAUCGAUGAAGAACGCAGCGAAAUGCGAUAAGUAGUGUGAAUUGCAGAAUUCAGUGAAUCAUCGAAUCUUUGAACGCACAUUGCGCCCCUUGGUAUCCCGAGGGGCAUGCCUGUUCGAGCGUCAUUUCACCACUCAAGCCUGGCUUGGUGUUGGGCGACGUCCCUUUGGGACGCGCCUCGAAACGCUCGGCGGCGUGGCACCGGCUUUAAGCGUAGCAGAAUCUUUCGCUUUAAAAGUCGGGGCCCCGUCUGCCGGAAGACCUACUCGCAAGGUUGACCUCGGAUCAGGUAGGGAUACCCGCUGAACUUAAGCAUAUCAAUAAGCGGAGGAA